rnacentral:tRNA from 2 species
GUUGUAAUUCAACUACAAGAAC